CCCAGACUAGCGGCGCGAUUCGCCCUUAGAGUUUGAUCCUGGCUCAGGAUGAACGCUAGCGGCAGGCCUAAUACAUGCAAGUCGAGCGGCAGCAUUCGCCUUCGGGCGAGAUGGCGAGCGGCGGAUGGGUGCGUAACGCGUAUGCAACCUGCCAUCGAGCGGGGAAUAGCCCGUGGAAACGCGGAUUAAUGCCCCAUGGUCCCUUAGGUCGGAUUCGAUUAAAGGGUAAAGCUGAGGCGCUCGGUGAUGGGCAUGCGUCCAAUUAGCUGGUCGGUGGGGUAACGGCCCACCGAGGCGACGAUUGGUAGGGGCCCUGAGAGGGUUGUCCCCCACACUGGUACUGAGACACGGACCAGACUCCUACGGGAGGCAGCAGUAGGGAAUAUUGGUCAAUGGGCGCUGGCCUGAACCAGCCAUGCCGCGUGCAGGAAGAAGGUCUUUGGGCUGUAAACUGCUUUUCUACGGGAAGAAAAGGGAACUGCGGUUUCUAUUGACGGUACCGUAGGAAUAAGCACCGGCUAACUACGUGCCAGCAGCCGCGGUAAUACGUAGGGUGCGAGCGUUGUCCGGAAUUACUGGGUUUAAAGGGUGCGCAGGCGGCCAUGCAAGUCAGCGGUGAAACCCCUGCGCUCAACGCGGGGCCUGCCGUUGAUACUGCGUGGCUUGAGUGGGCCAGAGGCAGGCGGAAUUCAUGGUGUAGCGGUGAAAUGCAUAGAUACCAUGAGGAACACCUAUUGCGUAGGCAGCUUGCUAGGGCCCGACUGACGCUGAGGCACGAAAGCGUGGGGAGCGAACAGGAUUAGAUACCCUGGUAGUCCACGCUGUAAACGUUGGACACUCGAUGUCGGGGCCGUAGUUUCGGCGUCCAAGCGAAGCGUAAGUGUCCCACCUGGGGAGCACGGCCGCAAGGUGAACUCAAAGGAUUGACGGGGUCCGCACAGCGGUGGAGCAUGUGGUUUAUUCGAUGAUACGCGAGGACCUACUGGCUAAUCACGGGGAA
rnacentral:rRNA from 1 species